GGGCAGCUGCCCACCUUCCCAGCAGGCCAGGCUGGGCUGAGGUAGCAGCACCGGGACCAACAGCAGGGUCAUCCUGUAGGAGGCAGGAUGGGAACAGCAGUCUCCAGGAGUUUACAACGCGCAGCUGAGUCUGGCAACCAUGCUCAUCUAGAACUUCGGGCGCCUGAGGCCUGAGCGGACAGAGGUCACCUUGAAAAGACACAGACAGGCAACCAUUUUGCAGCUGGAGAUCAUUCAUUUGGCCCCCCACGGGAGCUCCUGAGCCCGCCGACACACCCUGGGCUAUCCUGGUGUCCUGCGUGCAUCACGGACCACCACAGAGCUUUCCAGAGGGCCCCCGCCCAGCGCCCCUUCUCCCCAAAGACUCCGACUCCGAAAGCUGGGGUGGGGCUCCGGGCAGCUGCAUUUUAAGCAAAAUGUUUCUAAUGCAUCAUUUAUUUAGGAGGGGAAAACAAAAGACUGGAAGCAAAAUGACUGUUGGCUGGCCAACUUGGCCCAGGGUAGGAAUCCCCUUGACGCUUGUACGGAGCGAAGAUCUCUUCCCCCGACACCCCGUCUCCAGGAAAAGCGGGUCGGGGUAAGCAGCGUUUUGAGCUAACACUCUAGGGUCUUGGUUUUUCUAUUUUUUUCCCCCCUCCAAUGAGUCAUAUUGGGCAUCUUAAAAGUUUAAAUACUGUAACAAGCAUCAGCGGAAGAAAUAGAACACUACGAAUACAUAAUUGAAACCCCUCCCCAGUUUCCUUUCCGCCACCCCAAAGUAACCAGUUUCCUGAAUGUGGCGCCGCACCCCCGUGCACAGCCUUAUACUUUUACUCCAUAUGUCUGUAUCCAUAAACAAUAUAUAGUGCGGUUUCGCGUGUUUUAAAAACUUUAUGUUAAUGGCAGCGUGCCCUACAGAGCCUUCUGCGACUUGCUUCCCCCCACUCCCCUUCCUUCUCUUUUUCUUAGCAUUAUGGUUUUGAGAUUCCUCCCUCGGGGGAAGUUUGCUGCGCUUAGGCUUG